rnacentral:sRNA from 1 species
CUAAACCCGCAUGAGGGAUAGAAGUGGAAAUCCUUUUUAUUUUUUCUUUAAAAAUAAAAAGAUUGAAACGGAUAGCCCGACCCGGA